GUUUUUAAGGAAACACAACAAAGGGUGUCUUUAACCACUAAUACUUGGACUUCCAUACAAAGAAUCAAUUAUACGGUCAUUACUGCUCAUUGGAUUGAUAAAAAUUGGACUUUGCAUAAAAGAAUUAUCAACUUUUGUUCAAUCACUAGUCAUAGAGGUGAAGAUCUUGGAAAGUCUAUUAGUAAGUGCUUACAUGAGUGGGGAUUGCAUCGAAUUUUCACUGUAACGGUUGAUAAUGCUGGUUCAAAUAGUGUGGCAAUAACUGAGUUGUCUAAGCAAUUAACUAAAUGGGGAACCAACUUAAU
rnacentral:misc_RNA from 1 species